rnacentral:rRNA from 1 species
CUCAUUAUAUCAUAAUAUCUGUAAUUUUGUUAAAGUCUCUCUUGAAAGGGGCAGAAACCCGUAGAGGGUGCCAGGCCCGUAAUGACUUAUAUUAAAAUAUUAUGGUGAGUUCUAUUUAGAGUCGAGUUGCUUGAGAGUGCAGCUCUAAGUAGGUGGUAAACUCCAUCUAAGGCUAAAUAUAACCACGAGACCGAUAGCAAACAAGUACCGUGAGGGAAAGUUGAAAAGAACUUUGAAGAGAGAGUUCAAAAGUACGUGAAACUGUUUAGAGAUAAACCUGCUCUAUUUAGUUGUAUAAAUACUAAUAGUGGAAGAUUCAAUUACCUUACCGGUUUACAAACUUACUUGAAUUUAUAAUAAUUAGGGACAGUAUACAAUCACAACACUUUAUGUGUCUGUGUAUUUGUAUUAACUGCUCAAUUCAUGUUUAGUAUUUGUCCGGAGGUGUGCACUUCUUCUACUAUUAAUGUUGUCAAUCGUCAUUAUAUUGUUUUAAGUGUUAUAAUGUUUAGACCGUAUUAAUAAGAAUUUUAAGUUUUGCUUAUAUUAUUAAUGUGGACAUAUAAUAAAACUAACAUAUUAAAAUGACGUUUUAUCGUAUCUGAAUGUAAUAAAAUGUCAUUAUUAUAUAACUUCUAUUUUAUUUUGGUAAUACAAGGUAUUAUAAUUUAUAUAUAAGUGGGAUUAUAAUACACUUCAUUUCUUAUGUGCAACAUAUUGUUGGCUCUAAAUAAUAGCAGGACCCGUCUUGAAACACGGACCAAGGAGUCUAGCAUAUAUGCAAGUCUUUGGAUGACAAUAUCCAUAAGGCGUAAUUAAUGUGAAUGUAUUAUUUUUAUGAUGUUUAAUAAUAAUAAUAUUAUAUUUAACAGAAUUUUUAUUAACACAUAAAAAUAAACUAAGGGAAGAUAAGUGGUUUUAAAAUAUCAUUUCGCAUUCCCGGGGCGUUCCA